UGGGGAAUCUUGCACAAUGGACGAAAGUCUGAUGCAGCGAUCCCGCGUGGAGGACGAAGCCCUAUGGGGUGUAAACUCCUUUUCUGGUGGAAGACGAAUGACGGUACACCAGGAAUAAGAGACGGCUAACUACGUG
rnacentral:rRNA from 1 species